AGCGAACGCUGGCGGCAGGCUUAACACAUGCAAGUCGAACGGUCCUUCGGGAUAGUGGCGGACGGGUGAGUAACACGUGGGAACGUACCCUUAGGUUCGGAACAACACAGGGAAACUUGUGCUAAUACCGAAUAAGCCCUUCGGGGGAAAGAUUUAUCGCCUUUGGAGCGGCCCGCGUCUGAUUAGCUUGUUGGUGAGGUAAUGGCUCACCAAGGCUACGACCAGUAGCUGGUCUGAGAGGAUGGCCAGCCACACUGGGACUGAGACACGGCCCAGACUCCUACGGGAGGCAACAGUGGGGAAUCUUGCGCAAUGGGCGAAAGCCUGACGCAGCCAUGCCGCGUGGAUGAUGAAGGUCUUAGGAUUGUAAAAUCCUUUCACCGGGGACGAUAAUGACGGUACCCGGAGAAGAAGCCCCGGCUAACUUCGUGCCAGCCGCCGCCGUAA
rnacentral:rRNA from 1 species